rnacentral:rRNA from 1 species
UGGGGAAUUGUUCGCAAUGGGCGCAAGCCUGACGACGCAACGCCGCGUGGAGGAUGAAGAUCUUCGGGUCGUAAACUCCUUUCGAUCGAGACGAACGGCUUCCGGGCGAAUACCCCGGGAGAGUGACGGUACCGAGAGAAGAAGCCCCGGCUAACUCCGUGCCAGCAGCCGCGGUAAUACGGGGGGGGCAAGCGUUGUUCGGAAUUACUGGGCGUAAAGGGCUCGUAGGCGGCCAACUAAGUCAGACGUGAAAUCCCUCGGCUUAACCGGGGAACUGCGUCUGAUACUGGAUGGCUUGAGGUUGGGAGAGGGAUGCGGAAUUCCAGGUGUAGCGGUGAAAUGCGUAGAUAUCUGGAGGAACACCGGUGGCGAAGGCGGCAUCCUGGACCAAAUCUGACGCUGAGGAGCGAAAGCCAGGGGAGCAAACGGGAUUAGAUACCCCCGUAGUCC